GGAUUCUUGUUCUUAGAGUUCAGUUAUCACAUCAUGAGGAAGGGAAGAGGCUGCCUGUAAAGACUACUGCCAAGUGUCCCGGAUGACAAUCCCAGACACCAUCAACGUAAAGACAUAUGAAUGAGUGAGCCUUAAUAUGAUUCUAGCCCCAGUCAUAAUCUGACUAAAACUGCAUGAGAUACCUGAGCAAGAAUUACCUAGGAAAGCCCAGUCAACACCAAGAAAAAUGAAAGACAGUGGCUAAACCAGAACAUGGAGUGGUAAGAAGAAAUGCAUGAAGAAACAAUUACUACUAAUCCUUGAGCACCAAAUCUGGCUGGGCAAGAGUGGAAGUUGAGGCUGUGUGAAGAGGCAGAAUCUUCUAACCGAGUAUGAGAUUAAAACUUUAAUGUAGUCUGGACUGGA